UGAGCAUCAAAAUGGAAAUCAGUGACUUCUGGCUGCGCUGUUUUGCCUAACCCACCAUGUACCACAGGAGUGAUCCCACAGACCAGCAGUACCCUAUGGUGAUGUGGGAUUGCAGUGCAUGGCAUCAUCUGUGUCCUGCUGAAGUGUCCUCCUUCCCUUUACCCCAGUGGAAAUAAUGACUCAUAAAGUAAAAGCUGUGUGCCCAUUUGCAUAUUGCUCCUACCUGCCGGUGUCUGUGACAUAAUAACAUUGAAAUGCACACUGCAGAGUAAAGUCUGCAGUCAGAUCUGGAAAGAGAAAAGGGCUGAAAUUUGAACCUGGUAACUCUACAACCUGAAUAAAAAUCGUUUGUAGUUACCUCCUGGAAAAAGGUACAAAACCCCACUUGAUUCUCAGCUUCUUGUCUGUGCACAGGGGCUCAAUCAAAGUAGCUCGGACUGUGGCUUUGAAUCCCAUUUCCAGAACUGGCUGGAGGUGCAGCCUCAUGGCCUGCCUGCUCCCUGCUGUCGUCUGCUUGCUGGAGAUUCACCCCUCCCCAGCAGAGCUGGUGGACCUGGAUGUGCACAUGUAUCUCUGUGCUCUGAUGUUUGCAGCUUCUCAGGACAGCACUGAAACUCAGCCUCUCAUGCUCGGGGAUAAUGGUGAGAGCUGGAUUUUGAGUCCCUGCUGCAACUUGACAAGGAUCUAUGGUCUGGUGUCCACCUGGAAAAGUGGGAACACCGCAAGAGAUCUUCAGCCAGAAGCAUAGUAUUGCAGGCAUAACAUCUGACUCAGUUGGCUUGCAUGGAUGCAGCCUCUAGUUUUCCAGCGUGGCCGAUUGUAUUUCACCUUGGAGCACUCCGGCCCGGGAAGCAGCCGCAGCCCUGGCUGCUGCCCAGCUGGCCUCUGCCCUAGUUCCUCUCCCGCUGCAGGCAGGCAGGCUGUGGGAUCGCUCCUUUUCAGGGCUAAACUGUGCCGCCCACUUUUGAUCAUUAAAGGAAAUGAAGCUGAAAUCACAUCUGAAGAAGUAAACGACUCACGUACGAAGGCGCUGAGAUGGCAAAGCAAGCAGUCUCAAAGGCGAGCACACACAGCAUGGGCUGCCACUGGUCCCCUGGUUCAGCAGUGUUCUACGAGCACUUGGCAGAACUAUAAAUGA
rnacentral:lncRNA from 1 species